CCUGAUAGCUCAGUUGGUAAAGAAUUUGCCUGCAAUGCAGGAGACCCUGGUUUGAUUCCUGGGUCAGGA
rnacentral:tRNA from 1 species